GUCUGGAGAGGCUGAAGGCACUGAUUAGGCCAGACUAAAAGCAGUUAUCAAGCACCUCGAUAACAGCAUGAGUAAGGGAGAAGGCAUGGAGAGCGCAGCGCUGGGCCAAACCAAAAUAAUUAUGUCAACGAGCAAGGCAAAUUGGAGGCCUUAUCAGAGAAGGAGGAAGGACAGCUUUUACGAGGAGGAGGAAGAGGAGGAGGAGGAGGACCUGAGCCCUAGGACCAUGCCUCAGGACUACCUGGCCUGAUGACUCCUUGCUGUCCCCAGUCCACCUGGCCGUGCUGCUGCUCCAGUUUCAACUGUUCUGCCUGCAGCUAUGGAACACUGACCUGUUCACCGGACAUGCGACCUGUCCCAGACCUGCUGUUUUCAACUCUCUUGAGACAGCAGGAGCGUUAGAGAUACUCUGAAUGAUCAGCUAUGAAAAGCCAACUGACAUUUACUCCUGAGGUGCUAACCUGUUGCACCCUCGACAACCACUGUGAUUAUUAUUAUUUGUCAUCUAUGAACAUUUGAACAUCUUGGCCAUGUACUGUUAUAAUCUCCACCCGGCACAGCCAGAAGAGGACUGGCCACCCCUCAUAGCCUGAUUCCUCUCUAGGUUUCUUCCUAUGUUCUGGCCUUUCCAGGGAGUAUUUUCCUAGCCACUGUGCUUCUACAUCUGCAUUGCUUGCUGUUUGGGGUUUUAGGCUGGGUUUCUGUACAGCACUUUGUGACAUCAGCUUAUGUAGGAAGGGCUAUAUAAAUAUAUUUGAUUGAUUGAUUGAUUGAUUGAUACAGCACUUACUUGGCUCAGACCAAAUCCUGUCACACUAUGAUCUGUUUAACCUGUCUUGUGAUUGUCUCCACCCCCUCCAGGUGUCACUUAUUAUCCCUGUGUUUCCUGUCUCUCUAUGCCAGUUUGUCUUAUAUGUUUUUCAAGUCAACCUGCGUUUUUCCCGUACUCCUGCUUCUAUUCUCUUUUGCUAGUCCUCCUGGUUUUUGACCCUUGCCUGUUUUCUGGACUCCGUACCCGCCUGCCUGACCCUGCCCUGAACUCGAGCCUGCCUGCCACUCUGUACCUCCUGGACUCUGAACUGGUUUUGACCUUAGCCUGUCCAUGACCAUCUGCCUCCUGUGUCUGCAUCUGGGUCUUGCCUUGUGCCCUUAUACUACCUGGAAUCAUGCCUAGGCCAUCAAUGGAAUGGAAAACAAAAACCAAGUAAACAAUAACAAAAAUUAAGCAUUGUUCAAAGGACCAGUAAAAGACACAGCAUAUUUUACAAGCUUGCAUUCUUUGUUGGAUCACUUGUUUUUCAAUGGAGAUGGGAAAAUGGACUCGAGCAGCACGCCAUGUCCCGUAGCAUUACAUCCACCUAUGGUCGAGAUGGACCAGUUAAUUUUUCAUGGAGAUCUCAAAACAGAUCCGAGCAUCGGCGCCACUUCUCGAAACACACCCACCUUCUUGGGUUGUAUAAAGGUUUUUAUCACCCUUGCUGAGAAACAGAUGAAGAUGGAAAUGUUAAGUAUUCCCUGUCGGAAUGUCAGCCGAAAGAUAUUGUGGAUUUAUCACUCCGGCCUGAGAGCUAACUCUGCCUCUGAGUCCCGUGAAGAGGUAGAACCUUGUGCCCAAACACGACCUGCAUGACAAGCCAAACUGCUCCGCUGGCAUGCCUCCCCAUUAACAACUCUGCUAGGAGCAACAAAAUUUCGGCAUCAACGAUGCUCUUUAACAAGAGAGCACAGAAGAGGCUGACCUCGCUUUAGUCAAUUACCCUUUAUUAAAAGAAGGACUGGUGGAUUAAAAAUAAAUACCAAAAACAAAUGGUGUUUUAUCCUUUGGCUUAGACUAAAGUGUGAAGGGAAUGCAUGAGCAGGAGUGGAAAGAAUUUCAGGACUACAGACACGAGUAAGCUCCCAUGUGUCUGCUGAAAAGUCACCUGCCCCCUACAACUCAAACAGUCUCUCCUUUCAGUUGCUGGCCCGGUGGUUGGCCUAUCGUGCCAAUGGCACUUUGUGUGCUGGACUGUGUGCUGUGAGCAGAGAAUGGGACAAAAUGAAAAUGUGUUUGCGGACCAGCAAUCAGUCAGCUAGGAUAUAUGGCAUAAUUACUUUCGGACAACGGUCCAAAUUUGUGCAUAUCAAAUUAAAUAUUUUUUUGUAGAUUAUUUCCAUUGAGCAAUAAACCCCUGACAAGUCUGUCUCUCUUCCAGUCCCCACAUAACAGCCCUCUCUUUACUUCCAUAUCCCCAAAUGAUUUUUUUUUCUGUCCAUGCUUACAUAAAAACAAUGGCUUUCCUUGAGUUGUUUUGGCCACAGUUACAUACCAUUGAGCUCACACUGCUUUACCAUUUAUCUUAAUGAAGCUUCCUUAGAAUACGAGAGUGGACCUGGCCACUGUGUGGUCACAUUUUACAUUCACCAUAAUUAGAAAAACAUGGCGAGGAGCGAGCAGAUGUUUUCUCGAUUCCUAGGCCCAUAAGCGGAGGUGCGAAAGUCUUCAUCAACACUAUUACAGACAUUCCUUAAAGUGCGGACGUCUACAGGUAAUUGUUGUGGGAUGUUUUCCUUGGAGGGAAGAGCAGAAGUUUUGUGUCACAAUGUGACUUCAUGAACUAUUGUGAUGACUUUACACCAAUAACACUAAGGUCUCGCUCCUUCAAAUUCUCACCUGUUGAACCAGAAUGGAAGGGUGACGUAAGGAUAGAGCAUCAUGCUUUCCAAGACAGCAUCAUGGAAAAGGAUUCUAAGAACCCUGCCAAGAGAAUGUCUUCAUAUGGUUUAAUACGGUCCUUGAAGAAUCUAAGGUAUUUUGUUUCUCUCAGAAGUGAGUGAUGAAAUUGCUGACUUCUAUGAUGAGGGCAAAGACAUUGGCAGAGACAUAAAUAUGUUGCAUUUUGAUUUGAGUGAUUAUGUUGUCAGUCAACUGAAAGAGACUGAAUUUCACAAAGCUCCCAGAACAGUUGAUGAUGUUAAUGAGAAGACAUUCUCCCUCCACCUGUUGUGUAUACAGCCCUUAUUCAGGAAACAUGACAACGGACACUUUGGGGGAUUUGGCACAGUGAAAAGAGAAGGGAUCACAAAGUUUGAAAAGGAAAACCAUUAAGGGCUGGCACAUCCUAGACACCAGCUUCGGUUAAAAUUUUCCCCUUCUCAUUCCUUCCCAAGUGAGCACAGCUGCUGCAACAGGAGGUGCUCCAGGAGGAUUGGGGCGACAGAGUAAGAGAGAGGGAGAGUGUUUUUGUUUCCCCGUGCACCCACUCUUUCUUUGGGAGUGUCCAUGGCUGGCAGUGGUUAGAUUCAUUAGCUCUCACACCAAAAAUAAUGGUAAGCCCUUGCCUAGCAGGUUCACUGGACAUAUUACAGACAUUACGCAGUGGAUUCGCACCAUAAAAUAACCCCACAGCUUCACGCCAAGAACCACAGCCAGCAAUUAACAAUCUCUUGAUCCACAAAAACAAGUCCCGUCUUAUAUCUAUCCAUAUGUAGGCUUGCUCUGCAGUGAGGUCACUCCUCAGCAAUGUGCCGAAGGGAUCCUCAGGGAGCAGGCCGCUGAGUACCAUAUCUGUUUCGCACUGAAGUGUUCAGUCUCAAACCCCUUGUUUCCUGUUUUAUUUGAGGUCAAGCUCUGAAGAACAGAACCCAAGCUUUGAAGGAUGUAGGGCUGCCGGCCCACAAAGGUGUGUCUGAAAAAAAACAUCUUUAGGAUGUCAUAAGUUGAUGAAAUCAAGGAAUGACUAAUUAUACUAAUAAUCAGGAACCAUUUAAGAUAUUUUCAGCAUGUAUCUGGAAUUCACAUAAAUGUGUAACAAGAUAAAGUGAUUAUUGGAUAAAGAUCAUUCCAAUCUUAUCUGAUACUGUAAUUGCCAGCUAUGACUGUGGAGUCCCUGAGGCUGGUAGCAAGAGCAAGACUAAAAACUUAAAGACUUAAUGUAAAGUUCCUCAGAUUAUUGUCCCUGAGCACUGUUCUACCUGUUAUCAGUUUACCGUUAAUACUUUUGAUAUACAAUAUUUUAUUGGGAAUUUCAUACAGUAGACUUAUUUUCCACUUGCUUGUGCACAAGUGUUUCCCCCCCGCUCUGCUGCAACCACAACAUUUACGAAGAGGAAUUGCGUGUGGCUGGGACUGUAGGUGAAAACAAGGUAAAAAUAUUGUGGGAGUAUUCAUUUGGAUUCAGAAAUUAGCGAGACACUGGUGUUCUGGUGAAGGAGUACAGAGCUCACACUUGCAUCAUAACACCGUGCAUCAGGGAAGUGCUCCCGGCAGAAACAUAGAGUAACCCUGUCAGGUGUUGUAAUUAAGAUCUGAUUGGUCUAAUGUUUAAAAUGCCCUCCUCAGUGGGUUCAAGUUGUUAAAGAUGAAUCUGGCCUCCCACAGAUGGUAGUUGUUAGAGCCAGUGUUAAUCCAGACACACUGAGCAGCACAGUAGAUGAUGCACAGUGCACCACUUGUUCUUCAUGAACAUGGUGUAAAUCAGUCUCAGCUCCUUUUGGGGACGUGUAGGAACAGGGGUAGUAAUUAACACCAGGGCUGGAAUACAGGAGUUACAUAUAUCACAAUGUUGAGUUGUGCAAACUGGAGUUAAUACAAGAAAUAAUACACAAAGGCAGAAAUUAAAUUCCUGACUCCUUUGAGACUUAAUGAUGAUGAUGAAACAUACACUUUUGUAAGAACUGACGCUGGAGAUGCGAAGCAGAUACGGAGAGUGAACAUUUAAUUUACACAGACAUGGAACAGGACAGGAACUGCAUCAGAACAGGGUAAUACAAAGACAUAUGAAAAUCAAUGCUGAAGUGGGGAACAACGCUAACAGACAGAUAUAGGGGAGGAAAAUACACCAGUGAUUGAGUCCAGGUGAGUGCAAUGAAUCGCUGAUGCAUGUGACGAGGGGAGCAGGUGUGCGUUAUGAUGGUGGCAGGAGUGCGUAAUGCAGAGCAGCCUGGCACCCUCGAGUGACAGGGAGGGAGAGCAGGAGCAGGCGUGACAGUUUUAGGCUGAUUUGACCAUUCUCCAUGACUCACUUCAUAACUUGGAAGAACAAGUUUUUGGAAUUGUAAUGGGUCUAAUCCCUAAGUUUUUUUCCUCUGACCUUUUGCUUGCUGAUUAAAAUUGAGCUGCAUAACUGGGCAUCUAUUAACUCUGGCUUUGGAUAUUUUUUUUAUUAUGGCAUUGGUCUUCUCACAACAGAAACUCUUAAUUGUGUUAAUAAAAGCACCAGACCUCUGCUUGGAAAAUGGAUCAACACAUACUGCAUCUGAAAUGCCUGGAUGUUGGACUUUUAAACUCUAAAGACUGACUAGAAUGCUGAAAACCAUUGAGACAUUGAAUGCUUUGGGCCAUGGAAACAUUGCAUACUGUGUGCUACAGGUGUUUUCACUGCUUUGCUUAGAAAUAAUCAAACAAAUUUCAUGCAGGUUAAAAUAAAAAGUGUUACUGGAAUAUUGUUAUGCCAGUGUACCUACCCUAGGUUCUCCAUGACUAAAUCUGAUAAUUACAAAAUAAUGACAUGUUUGCUAUGGGAUUGCAAUGAGCACAGAUAGUGGCUGCCGUAUUGGUGGUGUCACAUUGUACUCGGGUGUCACGACUUCCGCCGAAGUUGGUGCCUCUCCUUGUUCGGGCGGCAUUGGCGGUCGACCCCACUGGCUUUCUAGCCGCCACCGAUCUACAUUUCUUUUUCCAUUUGUUUUGUCUUGAUUGUACACACCUGGUUUACAUUACGUUAUAUUCCCUAUUAACCCUCUGGUUCCCACAUGGUUUUGUGCAUGUUUGUUCUUUGUUAAGUAGUCGCUCUGUUGUGUCGAGCUGGAAUAUUUUCCCUGUAUGGAAUUUGUUUAUGAUUUUCCGAGUAAAGUACGUUGUUACUCUG